GAUGAACGCUGACAGAAUGCUUAACACAUGCAAGUCUACUUGAACUUCGGUUUGGGUGGCGGACGGGUGAGUAACGCGUAAAGAACUUGCCUCACAGUUAGGGACAACAUUUGGAAACGAAUGCUAAUACCUGAUAUUAUGAUUUUAGGGCAUCCUAAAAUUAUGAAAGCUAUAUGCGCUGUGAGAGAGCUUUGCGUCCCAUUAGCUAGUUGGAGAGGUAACGGCUCACCAAGGCGAUGAUGGGUAGCCGGCCUGAGAGGGUGAACGGCCACAAGGGGACUGAGACACGGCCCUUACUCCUACGGGAGGCAGCAGUGGGGAAUAUUGGACAAUGGACCAAAAGUCUGAUCCAGCAAUUCUGUGUGCACGAUGACGUUUUUCGGAAUGUAAAGUGCUUUCAGUUGGGAAGAAAAAAAUGACGGUACCAACAGAAGAAGUGACGGCUAAAUACGU
rnacentral:rRNA from 1 species